rnacentral:miRNA from 14 species
GGUGUUGUUUUGUUGGAGGAAGUGUGUCACUGGGGGUAGGCUUUGGGGUCUCAGAAGCUCAGCAAGCCUAUUGCUCUCUAUCUCUUCCUGAUGCCUACAGAUCC